CUCACUAUGUUGCCCAGGCUGGUCUUGAACCCCUGGGUUGAAGUGAUCGACCCACCUCAGCCUCUAAAAGGGCUGGGAUUACAGGUGUGUAAUCCCACUGAGCCACCACUUAGAAAGCAUGACACUAGCUUAUGCUUUCUAAUACAUGAAAUUAAGCCACAUUUAGAAGUAAAAUCACAGCUUAAAAAAAUAAGUAGGUAAUCAUUAGAUUGUGAUUCAAGUGAUAAAGGCUGUGAGUAAAGUCAGGCUUCCAUGGCAAACAGUAUUCUACAAUAAAUAUUUCCACAAAUGUGGUUUUAUCAGAUAUUUUUAUUUUCACGUUUACAUUCAACAGCUCGUAGAAUUGUUAAAAACAGCACUUUUGGGCCGGCUCACACCUGUAGCUGCAGCACUUUGAGAGGCUGAGGCGGGCGAAUCACUUGAGGUCACGAGUUUGAGAUCAGCCUGACCAACAUGGUCAAACCCCAUCUCUACCCAAAAAAAAAAAA